ensembl:lncRNA
GGCGAUUUCUGUCGUCAUCACGGUCGACCUCCGAGUUCUUCUUCUGCGCGCGUGACGCUUUAAAGCUCCAGUCAGCUGCUCACCUGCGUGGAAAUGACGGAUUUCUGUUGCCGCGUUGGAACCAGUUUGUAAGCGUGCUGCUUUCACUGUGUUCUGUCAGCACACGAGACGGCCCACUUGUUCCUCUUGAUCCGAUCGACGCUUCGGCCUUCAUCGGGUGGUAUCUGCUCGGGGAGCUUAGCUCAUGCGGGUUCACGCAGACGCUGUCUCUCCUCGUCUCCGUAAAUCAGGAUUACGGUGCCGUCACUUGCAAUUAUGUCAGUAAUUACUGCCUUUCUGUCAUAAUUUAUCUGUCCAGCUUUCUCCACACACACACACACACACACACACACACACACACCUGCUUCAUUUCUAUUGUUUAUUUCUGCUGUGUUUUGUGUCUCUGAGCAGCGUGUGUCUAUUAUUUAUUUGUGUGCCUUGAAGGACAACAAUCAACACCCGGGACGAACGCGUCUCCGUCCCUCCGGUCAAUCCAUCGGCUCCCUUCACACCUGCUCCUCUCACGUCACCCUCCUCCUCCUCCUCCUCCUCUUCCUCUGUCUGUCUCCUUGUCAACAAAAAGAUCUUCAGACGAGAUUCAGGAUGAUGGAGUCAGGAGAUCAACACACACACACACACACAGUUUCGAAGGAGCCUCCUCUUCUUCGCCCGCAUCUUGUUUGUGAGUAAUAAUCUUUUACUGCAACAGAUAGAAAUCAAUUCUUCCUGUUUUUUUAGUACCAAUCCAUCUGCAGCCACUGAGCCUCACGAGCAGCGUCGUUAUAUUUACACAGACUUCCCACACGACGUACGAUACACAACCUCCCCUGCAUCCCACGGGCCUCCGCCUUGCCGCGUUGCAUUUGGGGCCCGAGUUUAACGCUGACCUACAUCUCAGCCGGUGACUCAUAACCCGCAGGAGAGGGGGAUUAAAACGCAGGCGGCACGCGGCAUCGCGAUUCAGAAACGGUGCUCAGGGCAACGAGAGGGGAGAUGCACGUGAGACGAUGGAGUUGGAGCGUGG